GAUGAAGAACGUAGCGAAAUGCGAUAAGUGAUGCGAAACGCAACUUUUGUGAGUCAUCGAAUCUUUGAACGCAGAUUGCGCCCUUUGGUAUUCCGAGGGGCAUGCCUGUUCGAGGGUCACUACAACCUCUCAAGUUCGGCUUGAUGUUGGACCUAGAAGGUCAGUGAUGCGCUGGCCUGGUCUUAAAGAUAGCGACGGCGUCCGCGAGGCUCUGGAUACAAUGAGCUUUUGAAGCAUGUAUCGUGGCAGACUCGGGGGCUAGUCACUGCACCUAAAUCGAAAGGGUUGACCUCGGAUCAGGCAGGAAUACCCGCUGAAUUUAAGCAUAUCAAUAAGCGGAAGGA
rnacentral:misc_RNA from 1 species